GAUGAACGCUGGCGGCGUGCCUAAUACAUGCAAGUCGAGCGAACAGACGAGGAGCUUGCUCCUCUGACGUUAGCGGCGGACGGGUGAGUAACACGUGGAUAACCUACCUAUAAGACUGGGAUAACUUCGGGAAACCGGAGCUAAUACCGGAUAAUAUAUUGAACCGCAUGGUUCAAUAGUGAAAGACGGUUUUGCUGUCACUUAUAGAUGGAUCCGCGCCGCAUUAGCUAGUUGGUAAGGUAACGGCUUACCAAGGCGACGAUGCGUAGCCGACCUGAGAGGGGGAUGGGCACCACGGGAACGGGGGACGGGUCCGACCCCCUAGGGAGGGCAGCAGUGGGGAAUUUUCCGCAAGGGGGGAAACCCUGACGGGGAAACGCCGGGUGGGGAAGAAAGGUCUUCGAAUCGUAAAACUCUUUUAUUGGGAAAAAAAAAAGGUGUAGGUAACUAUGCCCGUUUUAACGGUACUUAUUAAAAAGACCACGGCUAACUACGU
rnacentral:rRNA from 1 species